rnacentral:rRNA from 2 species
UGGGGAAUAUUGCACAAUGGGCGCAAGCCUGAUGCAGCAACGCCGCGUGAAGGAAGAAGGCCUUUGGGUCGUAAACUUCUGUCCUUAGGGAAGAUAAUGACGGUACCUUUGGAGGAAGCCCCGGCUAACUCCGUGCCAGCAGCCGCGGUAAUACGGAGGGGGCGAGCGUUAUCCGGAAUCAUUGGGCGUAAAGGGUGCGUAGGCGGUCUUUUAAGCGCGAGGUUUAAGGCUACGGCUUAACCGUAGUUCGCCUUGCGAACUGGAGGACUUGAGUGCUGGAGAGGAAAGCGGAAUUCCUAGUGUAGCGGUGAAAUGCGUAGAUAUUAGGAGGAACACCAGUGGCGAAGGCGGCUUUCUGGACAGUAACUGACGCUGAGGCACGAAAGCGUGGGGAGCAAACAGG